CGGCAGCACGACCUUCGGGUUGGUGGCGAGUGGCGCACGGGUGCGUAACGCGUAUAGAACCUACCCUUUACAGGGGGAUAGCCCGGAGAAAUCCGGAUUAAUACCCCGUAGUACUGAGUUCCGGCAUCGGGACUCAGCUAAAGCUGAGGCGGUAAAGGAUGGCUAUGCGUCCUAUUAGUUAGUAGGUGAGGUAACGGCUCACCUAGGCUACGAUAGGUAGGGGCCCUGAGAGGGGGAUCCCCCACACUGGUACUGAGACACGGACCAGACUCCUACGGGAGGCAGCAGUGAGGAAUAUUGGACAAUGGUCGAGAGACUGAUCCAGCCAUGCCGCGUGCAGGAAGACAGCCUUAUGGGUUGUAAACUGCUUUUGUACGGGAAGAAUAAUGCCCACGUGUGGGCAGAUGACGGUACCGUACGAAUAAGGACCGGCUAACUCCGUGCCAGCAGCCGCGGUAAUACGGAGGGUCCAAGCGUUAUCCGGAAUCAUUGGGUUUAAAGGGUCCGCAGGCGGGCCAGUAAGUCAGGGGUGAAAGUUUGCGGCUCAACCGUAAAAUUGCCUUUGAUACUGCUGGUCUUGAGUUACGGUGAAGUGGCUGGAAUAUGUGGUGUAGCGGUGAAAUGCAUAGAUAUCACAUAGAACACCGAUUGCGAAGGCAGGUCACUAACCGCCAACUGACGCUGAUGGACGAAAGCGUGGGGAGCGAACGGGAUUAGAUACCCCGGUAGUCCACGCCGUAAACGAUGGACACUAGCUGUCGGGCUUUAGGGCUCGGCGGCCAAGCGAAAGUGAUAAGUGUC
rnacentral:rRNA from 1 species